UGCGUAGGCGGGUCUUUAAGUCAGAGGUGAAAUCCUGGAGCUCAACUCCAGAACUGCCUUUGAUACUGCAGAUCUUGAGUUCGGGAGAGGUGAGUGGAACUGCGAGUGUAGAGGUGAAAUUCGUAGAUAUUCGCAAGAACACCAGUGGCGAAGGCGGCUCACUGGCCCGAUACUGACGCUGAGGCACGAAAGCGUGGGGAGCAAACA
rnacentral:rRNA from 1 species